UCUGGAGCUGAGGAUAAGCUGGUUGGAAGGCUUUGAACCUAUGUUUUGCUGUUGGAGAAAGGUGCUUUGGAGGUGUCUCGCAGCCCUGGCUCAGCAAGAAGUUGAGUGAAAACUUAGUGAGCUGGUUUUGGGAAGGAUUAAAAAGCUAUAGAAGAGGUGUUUCUCUGUUCUAACUCAGCUAGGAACUAAGUGGAAGCUUUCUGAGCCAACUUAGGGAAGCUUGUAGCAGAGGUAAAGGAGGUGUUUUGGGCUGUGUUUCUACAACCUUAAUCCAGGGGAAAGUUGGAUUGAAGUUUGGAAGGUUAUAUGAGCCUACUUGGCUGAGUUUGGCGACUCUUGUGAGCUGGUUUUGGGGUGUUUCAACCUGAUUUGAAGUGGAGUUCAAAUUGGAAUUCUAAACUAGGGUGUAGGUUCACAGCAGAAUUAAUUGUAGCAGGGUAUUAUAUCCUUUCUGGUUAAACUUUGGGAGCUUUCGAAGGCUGGUUUCGGUGUACCAAUCUGAAUCGAAGUGAGGAAGUAAGCUUUGCUACUAUACUAGAAUCAUUGCUAGGUGGCUUAGAGGCUUCGGAUUACCUUCAGUUACGAAAUCGACGAGAGUCGACAGCAAUUAGGUCGCUCCCCACAAGUCGGCACUCCCAAGUUGGCCUACACAACAGAUUGCUCACUUAUGUACGAGAUUGAGCGCCGAAGUGGAUUGCCGUGGGUAGUGUUGACUUCUACAGGGCCAUUAGGCACGGCAUGGGCUGGGACUAUAUCAUGUAGCCUUCUAUAGCAGGAAAGGCUAGGGUUCUUGGUGAGAGGUCAGCGGCUAGCUAGAGCCUUCUCGAUGUUAAUAAAUGGACCUCUACGAGUGUAUUUUGAUCUAGUUCAGAGAUGUAGAUUGAAACUGUUUAGAAUAUACUUUGUACUUUACUUGUUAAGUUGUAAUAAGGUUUUGUAUUUGUAUAAGCUUAGAUACUUUUAGUUUUUGCUCUAAUUAUCUGGUUAAGAUGUUAUGCUUUUAUUAUAUUAGUUGUAGACGCCUGGUGUACACUUGAGGUUGUGGUGUAUAUGGCGGGUCUGUGCACGUGACUGGUGAGCUUCCGCGCUGAAGUCCAGGGUGUGACAACUACGGCUGACCAUUCAUCUGGGUUAGGCGAAUUUGGUGGUUGAUGCACUCAGUAGGAAGUAUACUUCUGCUGAGUUGAUGAUGAUCACAAAGUAGGAUUGCUUAAUGGUGGAGUUUGGGCAGUUGAAGUUAGAGAUGGUGCCCUCGAGAAUGACUGCUCAACUUAUGGCCUUGGUGUUGCAACCACCUUAGUUGAUCGGAUCAAGGAGGGACGGCAAUUGGACCUACAACUCUAGAAGAUUAAGAACGAUGUCGAGUUGGGGAGAUGAAUGAUUACCAUAUUCACUCCAAUCCCUUCAUUUUGGGGGUUGUUGGUGCAUUCCCAAUGAUGAUAAGCUAAAGAAGGAGAUCUUCAUUGAGGCACACAGAUCUCCCUACACUGCAUAUGCUGGUUGAAACCAAGAAAUACAAUGACCUAAAGUGGCAGAUUUGGUGAUCGAAUAUGUGGGCAUGGCGACACUACAACAAAAAUAGUGUAUAGCCAUAUUUUUUAAUGUUGGUACAGGUCAAAAAAAAG